rnacentral:rRNA from 1 species
GUAUAAGAGACAGCAGUAGCCGCGGUAAUACGGAGGGUGCAAGCGUUAAUCGGAAUUACUGGGCGUAAAGCGCACGCAGGCGGUCUGACAAGUCAGAUGUGAAAUCCCCGGGCUUAACCUGGGAACUGCAUUUGAAACUGUCAGGCUGGAGUCUUGUAGAGGGGGGUAGAAUUCCAGGUGUAGCGGUGAAAUGCGUAGAGAUCUGGAGGAAUACCGGUGGCGAAGGCGGCCCCCUGGACAAAGACUGACGCUCAGGUGCGAAAGCGUGGGGAGCAAACAGGAUUAGAUACCCCGGUAGUCCCUGUCUCUUAUAC